rnacentral:rRNA from 1 species
GACGAACGCUGGCGGCGUGCUUAACACAUGCAAGUCGAACGGAAAGGCCCUGCUUUUGUGGGGUGCUCGAGUGGCGAACGGGUGAGUAACACGUGAGUAACCUGCCCUUGACUUUGGGAUAACUUCAGGAAACUGGGGCUAAUACCGGAUAGGAGCUCCUGCUGCAUGGUGGGGGUUGGAAAGUUUCGGCGGUUGGGGAUGGACUCGCGGCUUAUCAGCUUGUUGGUGGGGUAGUGGCUUACCAAGGCUUUGACGGGUAGCCGGCCUGAGAGGGUGACCGGCCACAUUGGGACCGAGAUACGGCCCAGACUCCUACGGGAGGCAGCAGUGGGGAAUAUUGCACAAUGGGCGGAAGCCUGAUGCAGCAACGCCGCGUGCGGGAUGACGGCCUUCGGGUUGUAAACCGCUUUCGCCUGUGACGAAGCGUGAGCGACGGUAAUGGGUAAAGAAGCACCGGCUAACUACGUG